rnacentral:lncRNA from 1 species
AGAGUCUCCUGAUAAAGAUGGUCUUCUGAAGCCUACCUGUGGAAGGAAAGUUUCUCUUCCAAAUAAAGCCUUAGAAUUAAAGGACAGAGAAACACUCAAAGCAGAGUCUCCUGAUAAAGAUGGUCUUCUGAAGCCUACCUGUGGAAGGAAAGUUUCUCUUCCAAAUAAAGCCUUAGAAUUAAAGGACAGAGAAACAUUCAAAGCAGCUCAGAUGUUCCAAUCAGAAUCCAAGCAAUAGGACGAUGAAGAACAUUCUUGGGAUUUUGAGAGUUUCCUUGAGACUCUCUUACAGAAUGAUGUGUGUUUACCCAAGGCUACACAUCAAAAAGAAUUUGAUACCUUAAGUGGAAAAUUAGAAGACUCUCCUGAUAAAGAUGGUCUUCUGAAGCCUACCUGUGGAAUGAAAAUUUCUCUUCCAAAUAAAGCCUUAGAAUUGAAGGACAGAGAAACAUUCAAAGCAGUGGAUGUGAGUUCUGUAGAGUCCACAUUCAGUCUUUUUGGCAAACCGACUACUGAAAAUUCACAGUCUACAAAAGUUGAGGAAGACUUUAAUCGUACUACCAAGAAUGCAGGUUUCACCCCAAGUAAACAACCAGUUCUGGAAGCAGAGACUCUUAAUAAGCAUAUGG